rnacentral:lncRNA from 1 species
UCUAUUCUGUAGUUUUAAAUGCAUGUAUUACUGCCUUACUUGACCACUGUGUGAUUUUGAAAUUUGCGAUAUGAUUGUCUCACUGGGUGCAUGUUUAUUGUUUUUGUGAUUAUGUUCAACUUGGUAACGGAGACUAAAGGAAAACAGAUAAGGUGACAGCCUCACUAGAUAUCUUGGAAGAUGGUGGACGGACCGGUUUCAUAGG